CCAGGGGGAGCCCUAGAUCCCAGCCUCUUCCCUACACCUCUCUCAGAGCCUCUGUCUGGAGCUUCACAAAGACCCUGUCCCUGUCAUGGGCAGCGGGGCUCUCUGCUUCGUGGCCCUUUGUCUCCUGGGAGCAGGACCCACUCGUGCGGAAAUCUACCAGGUGCCCGCAUUCCGCCUCGCUCGGGCUGGCCGGGAUGUGACCCUGGAGUGUGAACAGAAUUUGAGGUACAAUGCCAUGUACUGGUACCGGCAGGACCCAGGAGAAGGUCUGAAACUGAUUUAUUACUCAACGGUUGAAAAGGACGUUCAGAGAGGAGACAUACCUGAAGGUUACAAUGUCUCUCGAGAGCAGAAGGGGCUGUUUCCUCUCACUGUGAGGUUGGCCCACACCAACCAAACGGCCGUGUACUUGUGCUCUGGUAGCGCACCACAAGAAUGGGCCAAGCACCGACAGACCAGUGCUGCCAGCAUGAUCCUGACAGUGCCACUGGCCUCCUGGAAGUCGGCCUUGGGCACCAUGGUUUCUUCCCCUCCCUAA